rnacentral:rRNA from 1 species
AUGUUGACAACUUGGAGGAUACAUUGGUUGCUUCACAUUAGACCCGGAAAGAAGACCGCCGGUAACGAUUAUGAAGCAGAGUCGCAUAGUAAUGGACCCGUGAACAGAUGUGAGGACGAGUAUUUCAAAAAAUCAAAGAGAAAACAACUAGCAGAAGAUAUCCAAGAAGCAAAUGCAACCGGAAUUGUGAAUUAUCCGAAUGUUUCCAAUUGGCCUAUUCAAACGUAUGACAUGCCAAAACAACAUGAUAGGAAUUCGUGUGGAAUAUUUCUCCUUCGAUGCUUUCAAUAUUGGGAUGGAGACAAAUGGACAUGCUUAUUUUCACAGAACUUACUUGGCUACCGCUCACACUACGAGAUGCAUCGACCUCGCUCUCGUUGUCUCCGGGAGGGUUUUCGGCUGCGACCAGAUGCAAUCCUUGAACUGGCUGCACCUCCAACCGCCCUGCGCGCACACGGACUCCAUCGAGAGUUAUGUUCCACGAGACCACGACGCAAGAAUUUGUCUCGGCACUGA